CUCGGAAUCAUUGGGCGUAAAGCGCACGUAGGCGGCCUGUUAAGUCGGAUGUGAAAGCCCCGGGCUCAACUCGGGAAGUGCAUUCGAAACUGGCAGGCUUGAAUAUGGAAGAGGGUCGCGGAAUUCCCGGUGCAGAGGUGAAAUUCGUAGAUAUCGGGAGGAACACCUGUGGUGCAGACGGCUUACUGGACCGUAACUGACGCUGAGGCACGAAAGCGUGGGUAGCAAACAGG
rnacentral:rRNA from 1 species